rnacentral:lncRNA from 1 species
AGAGAUUCAGGGAGGAGCUGAGCUGUUACUGAACUAUAGAAGAGAGAAAAACCUCCACAUUCAACAGAGUUCAACACAACACAAACUUUAUGUUCCUCAACAUGCUGUCAUUACAUCACUGUGUGUUUCCUCUGAUUCUUCUCACUCUCACAGGUGUCACAUGUGAUCAACUCACUCCAGUCAAAGAUGAAGAGUCCAGUGUAGAAGGCAGCACAGUUACUCUGUCCUACACGUACAAAGUGUCAACUGGUGAUUAUUUCUUCUGGUAUCGACAACAUCCAGGAAAACCUCCAGAGUUCCUGAUCUCACACUCUGCUUCAGGGUCAGUAGGAACAGAAAACAUUCCUGGACUAAAGAUUCAAGUGGAGGGAACAGAAAUCAAGAUGAGCAUCUCCUCUGCUGCAGUGACAGACUCUGCUGUGUACUACUGUGCUGUGAGGCCCACAGUGACAGGAAACACCAAAACUCUGUACAAAAACCUUUGGAGCAAAGACAACAGAAUACUCCACAACAUCCACUAGAGGGAGCCACACACUGUUAAACCUCUGAUUCUUGUGUCAUUGGACUGAUGACAAAGACAACAGAGAAAUGAAGCAGUAAAGAUCAGAGACAGAGACAGAGCUGCUGUGGAAGCACAAAACUAUUUGAUUGGCUUAGCUAUUAAACUGACCCCGCCCACUGAUCAUGAGCUCAUCCAAUGACAUUAUUUGUUGGUCAUUGUGCUGCAGUGGAAGAACAUUGUUCAUGUGCUGUCUGUCUGGCUUUAAUAACUCCAAAGACAUGUUGCUGCACCUCUUUUUGCUUCUAUCUCACAUUAUAGGUGAGUUUAAGAACAGGGAUUAAAGUUUAGUUGAAGCUGCUGCAUUAAGCAGAUAUACAGACUGCAUUUCACUACUUUUCUUCUUUCUUUUUUGCAGGACUAACAGCUGGAGACUCAAUCACUCCUCAACGAACUGAAGUCACUGAAACAGAAGGAAAAUCUGUCAUACUCACAUGUAGCUAUGAGACAAGUUAUACACAUCCAGCGCUUCACUGGUACAGACAUGAUUCUGACCUUCAGGCUCCUCAGUUUAUACUCUGGAAAGGAGCCAAAGACUACAGUGGUUAUGAAUAUAUUCCUGAUAAACGAUAUGGAUCCCAGACAUCUCCUACAACAACUAAUCUGACCAUAACAGCCCUAACCCUGGCAGACACAGCUCUCUACUACUGUGCUCUAGAAACACAGUGAUACAAAGUGUAGAAGAGGCUGUACAAAAACCUGAACACAGAUAUCUGACUACUCUUCAAAGAGGAGGGAAGUGGUAUUCAAAGCACAGCUUCAUAUCAGAUGGAUUCUGCUAAUUCCUGUUUUAUCAGAGUCACUGUGGUUACAGCUGCUAAUGAAACACUGUGGGAGGAUUCACAUGAGCAGCAAAUCCACAUCAACC